UAAAAUAAUUCUCAAUCUCUUCUCCCUCCCUCAGAUCAGCCGCCUCUCUCUCUCUCCCAACUCCACCAGCGACUUCCAUCUUCUCCGGCUCCUCUCUUACGCCAGGCUGCCUCCCCCUCGCUAUUCUCUUCUCCUUCCCUCGACCCCUCUCUCUUUUCCCUCUUCGCUUUCUCUCUUUCUUUCAGGCGAGGACCACCAGCUCUUCUUUCCAGCAACAGUGAGCUGCAACAACCAGCAGCAGUGGCCAUCUUCCAGGCAGCCUGCAACAGCAAGAAGCAGCCACGCGAGGACGAGAGAUUUCAGCAACCAGUAGAUCUGCGACAGCAACAGCCAUGAGCAGCUUCGGCGAGUGUAUUUGCUUGCUUUGACAGGUUUCAAACUUGAAGUUCAAGUUGAAGAUUAGCUAUGAGAAGAGAUUACCUUAUUUAAUUUAUGUAUUUGAAUCUAUAUUUUCUUAUUUGUUCAUUUGAUUUUUGUAAUAUUUGUAUGACUCUUAACUCUAUGAUAUACUUGGGAAUCUAUAUAUAUGAUAUACUUGGGGAUCAUCUAAGGGGAGGGAGAAUUACAUGCUAAUUUGUCGUUUA